rnacentral:lncRNA from 1 species
CAGCUGAAGCUUAGAGGUGAAACUUCAAUGGUGGUGUUAGUGCUCUAGGUGAAGGUAGCUAAUUUAGGGAGUGAAGAACUUUGAAGAAUCCAACUCUGAAGUUUUAUGGUGAAAAAAUGAAUCCCCCUGAGAAUGAACUAGGUGAGUUCCAUUUAUAGAAUUUUCUACCCUCCAAAUUCUGUUACAAAUUCGGUUAGAAGUUGAAUUGGAUGGAAAAUGGAAGUUAGGAGUUAGUUAACAAUUAGUUUGGAUGGAAAGUUUGUUAGAGGUUGGUUAACAAUGUUAGACAUUCAGUUAUGAUGUUGUUAGGAAUUUUGGUUAGUGAAAAACGAAGGUUAUUUAAUGCAGUUAGUGAAGUUGAGAAGGAUUGAAGUCAGUUGCUUGUUAAAAUUGUUAGUGUGAUGAGCUCAUUUAAUGAAUUUACUAAUGCAUUGCAAAUGUUUGAAUGAAUCUGAGUAUGAAUUAGAUUGAGGUUAGUUAAAUUUUAAGUUUAAUGUUAGUGUUUAGGAAAGUUAGAAAGAGUUAGUUGGGAUUGAAAAUCUGUUAGGAGAUAGUUUGAACUGAACUUUGCAGUUAGUUUGCAUACUGAUGAUUGUGAGGUUAAGAAUCAAUUCACAUGUUAAUACUCUUUUGAAUUUUAGUUAGGAUUGUGAAUCAGUUAACUUUCCAGUUGAAUUUUGUAGUAGGUUUGAGGUUUGAAUUAAAAUUAUCUAUAUGUGAUAGACACUAUGCAAGUUGGCAGUUAGGGGGUUGAUUUAUUUGAAUGUGAAAUCAGAACUGUUAUGUGACAAUGCAUUGCUAUGAAGUUGAGUUAUGAAUGAUACUGUUAUACUUUGAAUUGUUAUUUUAGUGCUUAGUUGUAAUCUAAGAAUGUGUUAGGGUUCUGUUAGUUAGAAUUGAACUGUUUGUGAAGGUUUUUAGAGUUAGUCUUGUUAAAGGUCCUGUUAUGGAAUUAUGAAAUGUAACUCUAUUAGUUAUUUAGGAAAUUUGGUUAGGAUGUUAUGUAUGAACUAAGUGUAUUUGUAAACCUAAUUGAAUGUUAAUUGAGCUAUUAUGCUGCUUUGGUGAAUGUUAAUGAAUUUUGCAUUGUUUUUUGGUAAUGAAAUAGUUAUGGUGAUUUGAAUGGAAGUUAACUAGCUAUUGAUGAAUGUAAGUUGGUUUAAAGUUUAGAAAAACUUAAUAGAACUAUUAUGCAUGAAAUGGCUAUGCUGAAAUGAUGUUUGAACAAGUUUGCAGUGCCCUUAGAUCAAUGGAGUGACUGCCAAUUUGUUAGGGCUGCUAGUGAGUUGAUAGAAGCUAAUGACAAUUAGCAAUUUUCAACCGUUAGUAUGAUGGUGCAUUACUUGGACUUUCAUUAUUGGAUAUGGACAUGACAUAAAGAAUAUUUUUGUAUUUGACAUGAAUGUUUUGAUGAAUUGCAGGCUGUUAUUUAUGUGAGUCUUGAAGCAUCAUUCAUGAAGUUCCUCUCUUGCCAUUUCAUCGCUCUAGGAAGUGGACUACCGAUACCAGCAAUCUGAGACAAUCCUCUCUUGCCAACUGUUGGAAAAUACUCAUGAACCCAACAUUGUUGCACAACAUGAAUAUUAUCAAUUAAAAUUAUUAUAAAUAAGUUAAUAUAAGUCAAAAUAAAAUUAAAAUUAAACAUUUGUACCUGUAGCAAAAAGGCAUAUCCCCUAAGUUGCUUGGAAGUAUAAAAGGAAGCAUCCCCUAGAUAUUUGUAGAGUGUGACAAGUGCAUAUAGGCUAUAACUGCACAGUCAAAUCUACUCUCAGCUCGUUGACGCGUAAAAAUGGUGCAGCCUACCAACAAUAGCAUAUACGCUAUAAAAAUCUAUUCUCAGCUCGCUGACGCGUAAAAAUCUCCUUCAACCAAUCCAACCUAUAAUAAUCACCCAUACAAAACAUCUCUAAUUGUCUCCUCCAACAAAAUACCCAAUAGAUCAAUAUCCAG